AACGAACGCUGGCGGCAUGCCUAACACAUGCAAGUCGAACGAGAACUUCGGGUCUAGUGGCGCACGGGUGCGUAGCGCGUGGGAACCUGCCCUUAGGUUCGGAAUAACCCCCCGAAAGGGGUGCUAAUACCGGAUAAAGUCUCCGGACCAAAGGUGUAUCGCCUUUGGAUGGGCCCGCGUUGGAUUAGCUAGUUGGUAGGGUAAAAGCCUACCAAGGCGACGAUCCAUAGCUGGGCGGCGAGGAGGAUCAGCCGCACUGGGACUGAGACACAGCCCAGACUCGGACGGGAGGCAGCAGUAGGGAACAUUGUACGAGGAACGAUGGCCUGAUCCAGCAGUGUCGGGUGAGUGAGGAAGGCCUUAGGAUUGUAAAUCUCUCUGACCCGGGAUGAGAAUGACAGUACCGGGUGAAUAAGCACCGGCUAACUCCGUG
rnacentral:rRNA from 1 species